AGCUGUUCAAUUUUUAUCAUCGCAUUUGGUCAUUUUUUAAAUUACUUUUUACUACAUUAGAAUAAGUCUUCUUACUGUUGUUACUUGCCUCAUUGUUAGUGGAAUUUAAUUUAGGUAACCCAUUACUUAAGAUAGGGAAUUUUUGUUGGUCCAUAUAUUUUUCCUCUUUUCAAUAGUUUGCAUAAAUCGGUUUAUUUUGGUUGAGUUAUUGGUAUACAGCGCAGCCUUUAUAAUUCGCUGUAUGGUUUUGCAUGCAAUAUAUACAUAUGGGUAAUGUGUCUUUGGGUUUAGUGCAUUGAGCAGUUCGAUGCAUUAAAUUACAUUUUACACAUUUAUAUGGUUUUUUUACAAUAUAUUACAGUGUUCGGCCGGUGGUCUUCCUUCUAAAAAACUUUCCUACUUUUGGUCUGCAAACGAUUUUUUUGCGAUUUCUUGGAAUAAGACGAAAAAGUGAAUGAAAAAUUAUCACUUUUUCAUCCCGCGUCAGUCUCUUAUAUUUUGAGCUUAUUUUUAAACUUACUAACAGCCCGAUUCUGUGCACUUGAUAAAUUCACCAUCUUGCUUAUUUAUCAAGUCUUUGGUAUUCUGUGUCAAAAACCAAAAGCUCUUUUCUAGAUAAAUUAUCAAGAUGUCAAAUGCUCUUGACAAAUUCAACAACUGUUUGUGAAAAUAUUGUGAACACAUUUUAAUUGUAAUUUUGAUUGAAAUUAAUUAAAAUAAAAUGGAAGAAGACAUAUUAAUAUUGUUGCUGUUAGAAGAGGAGGAAAAUUUAGAAAAUGGAGAUCGCUCGCGUUAUUUCAGGACUUACUUACGGCCUCAUGAUCAACAAAAGACUUCAUUGCCUUUGACCAUUAGAGUCCUGGCAACUUUAAAUUUCUUUGGUCACGGUUCCUACCAAAAAUGUGUCGGUAAUAACUGCAACUUGCCAAUGAGUCAGUCGUCACUCUCGAGAAGUAUGCGGGCCGUGGCCAAACUUAUAGUAAAAGUUAAAGGAGAAGAAAUAAAAUUUCCUAGUUCCACUGAGGAAGAAAAUAUAGUCAGAACCGGAUUUUUCACAAAAUACGGAAUAAAGAGUACUAUAGGAGCAAUAGACUGUACACAUGUUGCAAUUAUUGCUCCUGCGUCAAAUAAUAUUGAACGUCCCCUUGGCUUAUAUUUAAAUAGGCAGGGCUUCUACAGCAUUAAUGUCGAAGCGGUAUGUGAUCACCGUUUAUGCUUCACGUUUCUAAAUGCUAAAUUUCCGGGUGCGACAUAUGACUCUGGAAUUUGGGCAACUUUUGACCUACGAGAGCAUCUCAUUCGUCAACACACCAAUGACUCUGUAGGGCACCGAAGG